AUAGAUUUUGUGGAUAAACAGAGAGCUUCAUUCCUAUGUAGCCACAAUAUCUAUACAGGACAGGUAACAGCCAUUCAAAAUUCUCACACCCUGCCCUGACAGUGUGCCUCAGCCAUGACUUGAAGGGACCACUUCUAGGGUUGGGAGCGGAGUUCAGUAUCCAUGGAACUAUAAAUAUUUGACCUGU
ensembl:misc_RNA